GUUCUGUGACGUCUUUGUCACUUGUCGAUUCCAGACCGCCGGAGAAGGGAAACUGGAGAAAAGAAUAGACAACCCAAAAAUGUGACUCACUAAGUGACUCAUAGCGGCGCGAUUGAUAUGAUGGUAAUGGUAAUUUUAUCAUUUUAGUAAUUUCGUUGGUUUGAAAUUCCCAACAUGAAUUUCUUUUCUCCACCGUAUGACUUUAAUUUAUGUAACCAUUUUCCAACUGAAAUUCGUAAGUAUGAAUAACAAACGAACGUAGAUGUUGGUCGCAUUUUUCGAUUCCAUGUUUUGCGGCAGAAAAAAACACCGCGCUUCCAGACCAGUAACAUUCAGACAAAUAAAUAACAAACCGAACAGGGCGGAAAAUGAAAAUGUGACACUCGAAUGGCAGCCAACAUCAACUGCGUCCCCCCUUAGGGACAUACUAAAAGUAGCACAGCCGAGUGGCGUAGGUUAAUCUACGAACAAGAAGCUAUUUUGAAUGAUGCUCAAGGACUGAUCGUAAAGUGGAAUCGCCUUUUUGCAGUAACAAAAGACAAAACAGCCGAACAAAAACACACAAAAGCAUAAACUUCGUGAAUAUUCAAAAGCGAACCUGUCACCUUUCCCUCGCAGAGGGAAAAUUAUGCUUUAUUUACGCAGAAUUACUUCUCACUCCUCAUAUGCUACAUUUAGUCCAAGUAAUGGUAACUGCGAAACAGUGUGGAUUUUACGAGCCGUAACAUAAAAGGGGGAGACCCACUGCUCGAUAUUACGUAAUUGCGAUUCAGAGCAGAGUAUGAUCAUGUGUGUGUGUCUGUUUGUACGUGCGCGCACUUACUGCUGCCGCCAGAAUCCGACGGAAUUUCCCGUAGCUCUUCUGCUAGGUAAUGAAAUGCAGCGCUUUUCCCUCUGUUUGUAAACAUUUGGCGUCGUCAUUUGGCGAACGUUGAAGACGUCGCAAUUGCGUUUUCAGAUGGAUGGAUUGAAAUUGCAUGUGCCCAAUGCUGGAGGUUGGCGGGAAAAAUAUGGAAGAAAAAUAUCUACAAUGAAUUCGUAGAACGUGGCCCGAAUAGCUCAUUGCGCGGUUGGGCCCUCAUCAUGGGAGGUCCCGUACGAGCUUGUAGACGGACAAAAAAAUCGGGGAACAAUCGUAAGAUUCGGAAGUUGGUCUAUAUUCUAACCACUUGACUUCUUCGGUUGUGAGCACACGGGGCGGAACGGCAAGGAUUACAUGCUGUGAUAAUGCAGGCUGCCUGGAGGGGGAAUUGGUUUCCAACCGACGUAAGAUAUUUUUGUUUUCAUUGUUGUUUGUGUUGGGGAAGGUUAUUAGCAUAUUGUACGUAAAGGAGAAUUACGAUGCGUCAUGAUUGGAAUUUGAUGCUGGCACUGGCUUGUUUGAACAAUUGCACAUUAAGAAUACACAUUAGACUGGGACACGGUUAUAUGGGAAAAAAGCGAUGGUGAUAUUUUUUCGCUCCCAUGCAUUUUUCGUGUUCCUUAUGGAUCCUAGAACAACUGUGUAACUUUUCAGAUCGAUCGGUAAAACGCCCGAUUUGCGCCUGAUUUUUAAAGUUUCCAUACGAUUUUGUAUGGGAAAAUUCACUUUUUCAAAACUUAUUCUCUAGAAAUUCCCAGUUGGGUCCUAAAAUAUAUCGAUACAUGAUAUUUGUAGGAAAUUUUCCUGGGAGAAACUCUUCUGAAGACCGUAAAAUUGUUAAAAAUCUGUCCACGUGGUAUGUGGAUGGCCCCUGAGUGAUAUCCCUCCAAGUCUGUCGUUUAACGUCUAGGACGGAGGGGUCACCCAUAUACUGCCGUGAUAUAACAUUAUGACGUACAUCCAUUUGAUCAGUUUCUCAAUACCGCCCACAAACGAACGGGUUACCCGUCACUUUUGUAUUCAAAUAAUGCAUACGUCAUUUUUUUUUCUUGAUUUUAUGCAACGUACGAAUAAGUUACAACUAAAAGAAAGAUACCAAGAGAGGGAUCUUCGAAUAACGAACAAAUUGGCAUAAGAACCCCUUAUUUGAAAACAUGGCGCUUACGUAAUAGAUAAUUAAAAUGUUUUGAAAUUGUUAUAGUCAAGUGAUUAAAAUACUGAAUACGUCAAAAAUGUGAAUUUGUUAAAAAGACUUAACUGAUGUAGAACUUGCUAUUACAGUGCUAAACGGUUUAAAAAGAUCGGAAGACAAGAUCGACAGGAAAACUAUACGUAUAUCUAUUAAAACAAGGGAAAAAGGCUGUUCGAUAGCAGAGCGGAGGGCGAAUGGAUUUGUAUCCGUUGUUACUGAGCAGCGACACCAAUCACGGAGUUGUAGGUUAUCUGGAUUACUACACGCAAAAGUUGAAGUCUUGUACAAUCAUUGUGUUCUCCCGAUUCGCACAAAUGUUGCACAGAAAUCGCACAAUAAAUGUGUGAAACGCAUAACGCAACAGUUGUACUGCGAAUACAUUGACAUAGAAUGAAAUCAGAAUAUGUAUCAUAUACCGACACUUUAUGUCUCACGUCGAGUGUAUUAGUGACUGCUACUCAUGGUGCAGUGCAAGCGACGAGAGAAAUUUCUCUCUCGCUCGUAGAAUUUCAAUGCACGUGCGACAAGACUAGACACGUCACUUACAAUUUGCAGGUUGCUCUUUCGCUUCUCUUUCGGUUCGGAUUGCGACGCGCAAGACGAUACCUUGUUGCUUCACGAAAUGAGCGAGACACCCGUGCUGUACAUACUUGAUACCAGUGUUGUUAAUCUCACUCAUACUGUCGGUGCGUGCUUGCUGCUAUUCAGAGGAAUCCAUGAAGAAGAAAAAGUAUCUCGAAAGCGUGUGUGCAAAAGGCUUGAAAAGCGUAGCAUAUGUCUCGUCCUCAAGCAGAAAGGAGGAGAAUGGUUUUGCUUCUCGCUCGCUUUGCAAUGCUGCUUGAACUGUUUAGGUGUAGUAGUUUGAAGCUGCCAAAUACAUUGGAGAAACGCUAGAGCAUUAAUUGCGUUAUGCCCAACACGCAAUCAUUGUACUGGUUCCGAAUUACAUCAACAAUUGCUUUAAAAACGCACAAUUUUGUACUGGUUUCGCACCAUCCAACUUUUGCGUGUAGUGUCUGGAUUACUAGUGGCAAUUGAGGUCCGAGAGAAUUCACUUAGCAGUUAACACAGUAGCGCGGAACUGGGAGAUCGACCAGUUGGCAGUAAGGUUAUCCUGAUAACACAUAGAAUAUUCAGUCUUAACUUUAUUUGCUCUUAACAUUUUGUAUAAUUAUAACUUUUACUAUUCACACAUGAUUAUUUAAGGUUUAACAGAUUUACAACACAACUAUGUGUUCUCUUGGCGUUUACAUAAUGACUAACUCUCAACUGCAGCCAAAUAGGUAUUUAUAGCUGAUCAUCACAAUAUUCGCAUUGUUGUGAUGCUGGAAGAAUAUUUAAUUGUUAGAAGUGAACGCGCGCAAACUGGUGUCACUGGGUGUAGCUUGGCCGUAACGCGCAUAGUAUAGUCUGUGUAAUCUGCUUGGGGUAUCUCAACAAAGGUAAAGCAAAUUAUGUACAGAUAUUAGGGUUAGAAAUUAAGGCGAUUAAAUGUAACCCAAGGGUAACUAGUUCUUACAACAAGAUGGCUAAUUUUCGUCGAAUAGGUCCUCGAGGGGCAUUUUAUUGUUGGUUCUAGCUCUACACUCGAGGCGGUGCGAUGCAUUAUCAGGGGACAAAGAGUUUGAACCCGCCAUUUUGUGGAACGCUAAUCUAACGCAUUCAUACCUUGGAAGGUGCUGGCCGGGUACUAUUGGCCCGGCUCAACGAACGAGCACUGCCAUUGAACGGAAAUUCGUCAACCGCCACGAUUUUCGACACGCCGACUCGUGCUUAGUUCUACGGACCCGGAAAAACAGGAGCAGUAGACCAAGUAACUUAGUUUAAGAAACAACAUGUUGGGAUGAGGGAAAUAAAUUAGUACUGUAAGCUCAUGUAAGCUAUCAUUCGAUUGAUUU